ensembl:lncRNA
GGUCACCUCUGUCCUGAUUACAGGGCCACCGCAGUGCACUGGGUCAUCAAACCUCUUGCUUAUUGUAUUGUUAUCCAUCUCCAUGUUUUCAUGAGUGGGACCUCCUGGACGUAGGGCUGAUUGGGUCCUACAGUCACUCAAGUUUGAGUUCUAAGACACUUUAUUGUUUGGAUGCUGGGGACAUUGAAGGCACCAAGGAGAUGGAAGUCAUCAACUGGGCAAAUGCUGAAGACACACGUGGAGGAGCAUGCACCCCUGAAGGUUACAGAGAACUUCAACAAGAGCCAUUUUGAUGCAUCAAUGUGGGCAAAGGCAAAAGGUUCAAGAGAGAACAAGAGAAAACUAGAGACCACAAGUGGAUAUAUGUGGAUCCUCCCAGGAGACCUACUAGGGAAAUGUGUUCCUCACAGAAGUUUCAGGGUAUCAUGUGACACUGUUCCUGAGGAGUUACGAAUAACCAUCUAAUCACCCCAAAUAGGAAACCAGUGACUGACACUUCAAAGAAAGGAUACCCCUAAGUACAACUUGUUCUCUGUCAUGUCACGAUGCAGCCAAACUUGCCCUCUCAAGAAGCCAGAUGGGUGGAGCCAUCAGAUCCUGAACCUCUGGCUUCAAACUGUGAGCUAACUAAAGAUCUCUGUGCUGUAAAAUACCCAGCAUUGUCAUACAUUUUGUCAUAGCAGCACACAGUGGAAUAUACUGUAAUUUUAGCCAUACGUGCACUUUAGAGGGCAGGAAUCAUGAGUAUGACAACCAUGGGAAAUCCAGGGGCCUCAUUUUUCUUGGGAAGCCAAAAGGGUCAAAUUUAACAUUUUGUUAAAAAAAAAAAAAACAAGAAGAGAGAGAAUACCAGUUUUAGCAAUGGGGAAAACUUUGCCUUCUCUCACUUGGGUAGCUCCCACUUCAGGGGCACUAUGUCUUAAGAGCAUAUCUUAUACUCCUUUCUAAUGCAUACCAUGCACAAAGGAACCUUUUCUUUCCCUCAGUGCCUGACUGUGCAGGGCUUCCAAAUGCCCUUUUCUCCCUAGGGAUUACUUAGGCCAAGCUCCUUGUAGGCACAUACAGUUUUGUCUUGUAUAAAUGUCCCUUAGGGUGCUUGGCACAUCCUGGAUGCUCAGUCAAUAUUUGCUGAGUUAGCACAGUGACCACAGUACAUCCCAUUUCUUAAAUAACCAGUGGCGGCUUAACACAUUUAAACCACCCCUGUUUGCGUGCUUUAUGAGAGCAAGUUGGAAAGACGACAGCACCUCUAGGUUUGUUUCUGGGUCAAGCGCUCCUCGGCUAUGAAUUGAUUCAGUGGUGGAGGAAAAAGAGAAACAAAUGGUGUAAGAUAACAUCAGGGAGGCUCUGUGGUUCUUUUUCUUGUCAUUGAGACGGAGUAACCCACAAAAACAACUCAGGGGUUGCUUGACUCAUGGUUUUCAGGGCUUACAAUCCACCAUGGCGGAGAAGCCUUGCCAGAGCUUACAGCUGUGUCUUGAUGGAUCAGAAAUCGUCGAGGAGAGAGGAAGCCCUCAAGGCUAUAAACCACAAGGCUGGCCCCAGAUACUUGUAUUGCUAGACCUGCUCCCUCCCUGACUAGCACCAACCGUGGAGACUAAAUGUUCAAACUCAUGGGGGGUGUGUUGGGGAGACAUUUCACACUCAUAAUGUAACAUUUAGUUGGGGGUUAGGGAGAAAGCUGAUGCUUCCGCUAUUCGUAGGGGCAAGAAAUGAGUGGAUAUUCAGAAGUGGACCAGCGUGGCUACAUCUGCAACUGUGACUGACCAAAGCCAUACAACACAGAACCAUGAGUGAUGGAGGCAGUGGCCGGUGCAGUAUGGUGGGAUGUGUGGCCAGCAGGGAUGAGGGGUAGGGAGUCCCAUUGCUGAGAUCUUUUCUCCCGUUUUCCCAUCCUUUGCCUAAGAAUUGGCUGACAAGUGUAUCAGCAAACGGAAAAGACUUAGCUCAGUGUUGUUAGCAGAAAAUACUAGUAACUUAACACUGCGAGAAUACCAUGCAAAGUGAGUUGGUAACACGGCUGCCGAAAAACCAACAUGGCGGAUCUUUACAUAAAUAUGUGUACACCUACAAAUGGAGGGGAUGCUAAGUAUAAAUAUUUUUCUUUUUAUAAAUAUGAUAGCGAUAUAAUUUUGUUAAUUAGAAAUUUCGUCGCAUUUAUUUGCCAUGGCAUAGAUUUGGAGGUCAGAGGACAACUUG